rnacentral:rRNA from 1 species
UACGAAGGGGGCUAGCGUUGCUCGGAAUUACUGGGCGUAAAGCGUGCGCAGGCGGCUUCUCAAGUCAGGGGUGAAAGGCCCAGAGCUCAACUCUGGAAUUGCCUUUGAGACUGAGUGGCUUGAGUACGAGAGAGGUGAGUGGAAUUCCCAGUGUAGAGGUGAAAUUCGUAGAUAUUGGGAAGAACACCGGUGGCGAAGGCGGCUCACUGGCUCGGUAACUGACGCUGAGACGCGAAAGCGUGGGGAGCGAACGAG